GCCCUCUGCAUUAUUAUUUCCAUAUUCCUAACCAAGCUUUGUUUCAUCAAACUUUUCAUCAUUUUCUUUCCUUCUUUUGCAUCUCUUUGAUUUAUAGGUGACCCCAUUGCAAAUCUUGGUGUUUGAGGACCUGAAUGUGGCCCCAUUUUUACUCUCCUUUCAUCCUUAAACCAUUGCAAUAGUUUCAUUGCUCUCUUCUGAGCUAAAGAACUUCCCAAUAGAACUACUUCAAGAAGUGCAGGAACAACCCCAGCUUCUACCAUUUUCUCUCUUUGUGUUGAGCUUUGGUGGACCAGAAUCAUCAAAAUAUAAACUGAUAACUCUUGGCAUUUUGGUUUAUCUUCCCAUGACAAGAUCUUAAUGAAACUUUGUGGCACCAUUGAGUUGUUCUCUAUUGCUUUUUUUCCCAUUGAAGUCACCAACAUGUUCCCAAUAGUGGCAAGUGCUUUCUCUGAAAUUUCCUUCAUUGUGGACAUUUCCAAGAGCAUAGGCACAAACCCAUUAGAGACUAAAAGGUUUACAUUUUCUAACAUAGUUGAGAUGUUGUAUAAGGCACACAAACAUGAUCUUUUGGUAUCAAAACUUGACCCUGACUCAAGAAUGUUUCCAAGUAAUGGGAGAAAAUCUAAUGAAGGAAUAGAGAAUUGGGUGUUUGAUAGAUAUGAUAAUGAUAAAAGUAACUCUGCAAAUGCAGUUAUUGUUGAUUCAUCUAAAAGGU
rnacentral:lncRNA from 1 species